rnacentral:hammerhead_ribozyme from 1 species
AUACAACUGAAGAGUCCCAGAUAGGACGAAACUCGGGUCAAACUGGAU